UCAACCCUCAAGCGCGGCUUGCGUGUUGGGCCCGCGUCCCCCCGUGGACGUGCCCGAAAUGCAGCGGCGGCGUCGCGUUCCGGUGCCCGAGCGUAUGGGGCUUCGUCACACGCUCUCAGAGGCCCGGCCGACUCCGGCCCCACUCAUCGACCCCGGCGGGGGGGAAAAAGGUGUCCUCUCUCGAUCGACACCCUUCCCCCUUGCCGACCAAGG
rnacentral:misc_RNA from 1 species